CCUACGGGAGGCAGCAGUAGGGAAUAUUGCUCAAUGGGGGAAACCCUGAAGCAGCAACGCCGCGUGGAGGAUGAAGGUUUUCGGAUUGUAAACUCCUUUUGUUAGAGAAGAUAAUGACGGUAUCUAACGAAUAAGCACCGGCUAACUCCGUGCCAGCAGCCGCGGUAAUACGGAGGGUGCAAGCGUUACUCGGAAUCACUGGGCGUAAAGAGCGCGUAGGCGGGAUAGCAAGUCAGAAGUGAAAUCCUAUGGCUUAACCAUAAGACUGGAAUUGAAACUGGUAUUCUAGAGUAAUGGUGGGGUAGGUGGGAAUCGUGGGGGUAGGGUAAAAUCCGUAGAGAUCAAGAGGAAUACUCAUUGCGAAGGCGACCUGCUAGAACAUAACUGACGCUGAUGCGCGAAAGCGUGGGGAGCAAACAGGAUUAGAUACCCGGGUAGUC
rnacentral:rRNA from 1 species